UACGUAGGGUGCGAGCGUUGUCCGGAUUUAUUGGGUUUAAAGGGUGCGUAGGCGGGAGAGUAAGUUCGCUUUUAAAGCCGGCCGCUUAACGGUCAGGUAGGGGGCGGAUACUGCUUUUCUUGAGAGGGCUCGGGGCUGGCGGAAUUUGUGGUGUAGCGGUGAAAUGCAUAGAUACCACAAGGAACACCGAUCGCGUAGGCAGCCGGCCAGGGCCUUUCUGACGCUGAGGCACGAAAGUGCGGGGAGCAAACAGG
rnacentral:rRNA from 1 species